rnacentral:rRNA from 1 species
GACGAACGCUGGCGGCGUGCUUAACACAUGCAAGUCGAACGGAAAGGCCCUGCUUUUGUGGGGUGCUCGAGUGGCGAACGGGUGAGUAACACGUGAGUAACCUGCCCUUGACUUUGGGAUAACUUCAGGAAACUGGGGCUAAUACCGGAUAGGAGCUCCUGCUGCAUGGUGGGGGUUGGAAAGUUUCGGCGGUUGGGGAUGGACUCGCGGCUUAUCAGCUUGUUGGCGGGGUAGUGGCUUACCAAGGCUUUGACGGGUAGCCGGCCUGAGAGGGUGACCGGCCAAAUGGGGCCUGGGGUACGGCCCAGACCCCUACGGGGGGCAGCGGGGGGGAAUAUUGCACAAUGGGCGGAAGCCUGAUGCAGCAACGCCGGGGGGGGGAUGCCGGCCAAGGGGUUGUAAACCGCUUUCGCCUGUGACGAAGCGGGGGUGACGGUAAUUGGUAAAGAAGCCCCGGCUAACUACGU